UACAGAGGUCUCAAGCGUUGUCCGGAUUUAUUGGGCGUAAAGAGCGUGUAGGCGGCCAGGUAGGUCUGCUGUGAAAACUCGAGGCUUAACCUCGAGCUGUCGGCGGAAACCAUCUGGCUAGAGUCCGGAAGAGGAGAAUGGAAUUUCCGGUGUAGCGGUGAAAUGCGUAGAUAUCGGAAGGAACAUCAGUGGCGAAAGCGGCUUCCUGGUCCAGCACCGACGUUCAGGCACGAAAGCGUGGGGGAGCAAACAGG
rnacentral:rRNA from 1 species